CUUGCCUGGAGAAGUAAGAUACUGUUGUCGCAGGAAUGCCAAAAUUUUCCGGAAGUGAAAAUUUUUGGAUUUUAGCUGUUUCAGUGCCAAGGUUGCUGGAAUCGGAAUGACCAGGAUGCAGCCUGGAGCAGAAAACCACUGUACUAUGAAGUUUUAAAUCACACUUAUAAGACCUUAUUAUCACUUAAUAUUGGCAAGUAUUAUUAUGAUUUUUGAUGUCUUUGUGAUAGUUGCUGAAGCUUGUGUCACCCUUC
rnacentral:lncRNA from 1 species